rnacentral:rRNA from 1 species
ACACAUGCAAGUCGAGCGGUAGCACAGAGAGCUUGCUCUCGGGUGACGAGCGGCGGACGGGUGAGUAAUGUCUGGGAAACUGCCUGAUGGAGGGGGAUAACUACUGGAAACGGUAGCUAAUACCGCAUAACGUCGCAAGACCAAAGUGGGGGACCUUCGGGCCUCAUGCCAUCAGAUGUGCCCAGAUGGGAUUAGCUAGUAGGUGGGGUAACGGCUCACCUAGGCGACGAUCCCUAGCUGGUCUGAGAGGAUGACCAGCCACACUGGAACUGAGACACGGUCCAGACUCCUACGGGAGGCAGCAGUGGGGAAUAUUGCACAAUGGGCGCAAGCCUGAUGCAGCCAUGCCGCGUGUGUGAAGAAGGCCUUCGGGUUGUAAAGCACUUUCAGCGGGGAGGAAGGCGUAAGGUUAAUAACCUCUCGAUUGACGUUACCCGCAG